CACACUAGAGAUAGUCUAUAAAUAUAUGGGAGCGGUAGUCCUGUAGUGUAGAUUGGCACCAAUAUCAUAUUAUAUAAUAUCAAGUACAUACUCUGGACAUGAAGGCCAUUCUACUACUUUUCUGCCUUCUCUUGGCUUCCUCUAUUCUGGUUCCUUCUUCGGUUUUAGCUCGAGCAUUAGUUGGCAGACAGCUAGACGAGCUAGCAGCACCCCCAACGUCGACGUCUCCUGUUGUAACUAGGCCGCCGGUGUCGCCAAGUAACCCAAGGGGCUCCGUGUGCCCACGCACCCCGCCUGGACGACCAUAUACACCUGCAUGUUUCCCGAUCCCGAGGCCUCGGCCACCAAUAAGUUGUGGUGGUCUGUACAAGCGUAAUUGCCCCCCGGCCCCUUGAGAUGAGAAGCAUGCAGUGACAUAUAUGCACCAUGCAUAUAUAAAGGUUCAGCAAUAUUAAUUUUAUAUAUAUGACAUCACACUACUAGUUACAUUGUACGACAUCUUUCUGAUGGAAGUCGAUCGAACAGCGAAGGUUUUUAUAAGAAUAAAGUUAGUAAGUAAUUUUGAGUAAUAUAUUAGUAUUUAUGAUCUCUCGCUGUGUUCGAUCUGCAAUAUAUAUAUAUAUAUAUAUGUGUGUGUGUGUGUACACUAUGGUUUGAUGUAAUUUUAAGAUGUUAAAUAAAAGAGCCGACUGAAGUACGUACUCAGUCCGCUAAUUAAUGA